GAGGAAUAUUGGUCAAUGGUCGGCAGACUGAACCAGCCAAGUCGCGUGAGGGAAGACGGCCCUACGGGUUGUAAACCUCUUUUGUCGGAGAGUAAAGUACGCUACGUGUAGCGUAUUGCAAGUAUCCGAAGAAAAAGCAUCGGCUAACUCCGCGCCAGCAGCCGCGGUAAUACGGAGGAUGCGAGCGUUAUCCGGAUUUAUUGGGUUUAAAGGGUGCGUAGGCGGCAUGCCAAGUCAGCGGUGAAAUUUCCGGGCUCAACCCGGAGUGUGCCGUUGAAACUGGCGAGCUAGAGUGCACAAGAGGCAGGCGGAAUGCGUGGUGUAGCGGUGAAAUGCAUAGAUAUCACGCAGAACCCCGAUUGCGAAGGCAGCCUGCUAGGGUGAAACAGACGCUGAGGCACGAAAGCGUGGGUAUCGAAC
rnacentral:rRNA from 1 species